rnacentral:rRNA from 1 species
GUGCCAGCCGCCGCGGUAAGACAGGGGUCUCGAGCGUUAAUCGGAAUUACUGGGCUUAAAGGGUGCGUAGGCGGACCCGAACGCGUCCCGUGAAAUCCCCCGGCUCAACCGGGGAACUGCGGGGCGAACGGUGGGUCUCGAGGCAGGUAGGGGUCGCCGGAACCGUAGGUGGAGCGGUGAAAUGCGUAGAUAUCUACGGGAACGCCGAUGGUGAAGACGGGCGACUGGGCCUGUCCUGACGCUGAGGCACGAAAGCGUGGGGAGCAAACAGGAUUAGAUACCCCCGUAGUCC